rnacentral:rRNA from 1 species
UACGUAGGUGGCAAGCGUUGUCCGGAUUUACUGGGCGUAAAGAGCGCGCAGGCGGUCGAGUAAGUCGCGUGUGAAAGCCCCCGGCUCAACUGGGGAGGGUCACGCGAUACUGUUCGACUCGAAGGCAGGAGAGGGUAGUGGAAUUCCCGGUGUAGUGGUGAAAUGCGUAGAUAUCGGAAGGAACGCCGGUGGCGAAAGCGACACACUGGGUCUCAACUGACGCUGAGGCACGAAAGCCAGGGGAGCAAACGGG